UACGUAGGUGGCAAGCGUUAUCCGGAAUUACUGGGCGUAAAGCGCACGCAGGCGGUCUUUUAAGUUUGACGUGAAAGCUCCCGGCUUAACUGGGAGAGGUCGUUGAAGACUGGAAGACUUGAGGCAAUGAGAGGGGUGUAGAAUUCCCGGUGUAGUGGUGGAAUGCGUAGAUAUCGGGGGGAAUACCAGUGGCGAAAGCGACACCCUAGUGUUAGCCUGACGCUCAUGUGCGAAAGCGUGGGGAGCGAACGGG
rnacentral:rRNA from 1 species